GGGGCUGAGACUCAGAGGAAGAGCCUCUGCUUUGCGUGCAGAAAGUCCCAGGUUCGAUUCCUGGCAUCUCCA
rnacentral:tRNA from 1 species